rnacentral:tRNA from 1 species
GUUCAUGUAGCUUAAGCAGGAUAGAGCAACCGCCUCCUAAGCGGUAGGUUGCCGGUUCGACUCCGGCCGUGAACA